CUUGAAUUCAAGUGAUGUAGUUUGGGGGAUGACUACCAAACUAAGACUGAACCACCGCAAGAAAGGUGGAUCUGGUGCUUAAUGGCAUUGGCCUGACACAAAAGUAUUGGUAAGGUUCACUGUGUUUCUUACCUACUCUUUGCCAGAAAGUCACAGGACUGGUUAGAGUAUUAAAAAACCCAGAAUCAGGACAGUAAAAACCAUCCCACCCACAACUCCAAAAUCAAUAAUUUGCACAGCAUAUUACAGGAAGGACACCAAAGCCCAUUAUUCAGUUUUCAAAGGGUAGAGUUCAAGAACUGCAUCUUCCACAACCUGUGGAAGUGUCAGGCUCACCUCUGUGUGAAGGGAGUUCCGCAUACUUGGGGCCAAAAUGGAGAAGGCCCUGUCAUGAGCCUCUGUCCCAUGAAUCUUUGAGAGCUGCAGAACCACUGGGAGUUUCUCUUCCGCUGAUCUGCAUCUUGGGCCUGGUCUUGGAGGUAUUUUUUUCAGAUAUUCCAUACAAUUCAAAUUAUGAUGCAAUAAAGUACAACAUAAGAAAUAAAAGAAGCAAUUGAAAUACAAUUAGAUAUUGGGAUUUAGUGUGAUGGCUGUGCUACCUCCCAUCUAAAACCAAAAACCCACAGACCCACCAUGGGUCACGAAUGAGGCUCGCGGACCACAGUUUGCAAACCCCCGCCAUAGAGAGCUUGUGCCCGUCAUGGUGAUAGGUUUGCUUAUCUGGAAACAUGAAGCUGAUCUUAGCUUUAUUGAUCUGACAGGGCUCCCACCCGAUGUUGUGCUUUUGCUAACUUUGGCUUUUUGGACAGAGGGGCUUCUUAAUCUGUUCUUGGGGGUGAUGGCGAGGAUUUGGCAGGAGCAGUAUUGAACUAAACAUAAGUCUCAGGCUGCUUUCUGUGUGGCUUGCUCAGCUCAACUCGCUUGAAAUGCUGAAGUACACAUGUAAUUGAUAAUUAAAUGCUAAAGUUCUUGGCUGUUUCAGAACACAAGCUUUAUUUGUCUGUGGGAAAAAAGGACUGGCUAUCUAAUGCUGGGGGGGUGGCAGCGGAAUGUAGAGUCGUUGUUCCAUCAAAUCAGUAAUAGUGGUAGUUUUCAUAAAUAUUUUCAAGCCAAUUAUGCACACUCCUAUGCUAGUAUUGUAACUAAUGAUUUAUAAGGCAUUGACCCAUUCCUCACUUGGAAGUACAGUGGUACCUCGGGUUACAGAUGCUUCAGUUUACAAAUGCUUCAUGUUACAGACUCCACCAACCCAGAAAUAGUACUUUGGGUUAAGAACUUUGCUUCAGAAUGAGAACUGAAAUCGUGCGGUGGCAGUGCAGCAGCAGCAGCAGCGAGAGGCCCCGUUAGCUAAAGUGGCACCUCAGGUUAAGCACAGUUUCAGGUUAAGAACGGACCUCAAGAACGAAUUAAGUUCUUAACGUGAGGUACCACUGUAUAUGGGCAUAUUAUAAAGGUAAAGGUAGAGGGACCCCUGACCAUUAGGUCCAGUCGUGGCCGACUCUGGGGUUGCGGUGCUCAUCUCACUUUAUUGACUGAGCGAGCCGGCGUACAGCUUCCAGGUCAUGUGGCCAGCAUGACUAAGCCACUUCUGGCGAACCAGAGCAGCGCAUGGAAACGCCGUUCACCUUACCGCUGGAGCGGUACCUAUUUAUCUACUUGUACUUUGAGGUGCUUCUAAACUGCUAGGUUGGCAGGAGCAGGGACCGAGCAAUGGGAGUUCACCCCGUCGCGGGGAUUCGAACCGUCGACCUUCUGAUCGGCAAGUUCUAGGCUCUGUGGUUUAACCCACAGUGCCACCCGUGUCUCAGGGCAUAUUAUAGUCACAUACUAAAUAUGAAGGGGAAAAAAGAGAGGUGCAGUUGUUUUGCUUCAAUUCAUUUUAGUUCAUAGAAUCAUAGAAUCAUAGAGUUGGAAGAGACCACAAGGGCCAUCGAGUCCAACCCCCUGCCAAGCAGGAAACACCAUCAGAGCACUCCUGACAUAUGGUUGUCAAGCCUCUGCUUAAAGACCUCCAAAGAAGGAGACUCCACCACACUCCUUGGCAGCAAAUUCCAAUGUCGAACAGCUCUUACUGUCAGGAAGUUCUUCCUAAUGUUUAGGUGGAAUCUUCUUUCUUGUAGUUUGGAUCCAUUGCUCCGUGUCCGCUUCUCUGGAGCAGCAGAAAACAACCUUUCUCUCUCCUCUAUGUGACAUCCUUUUAUAUAUUUGAACAUGGCUAUCAUAUCACCCCUUAACCUCCUCUUCUCCAGGCUAAACAUGCCCAGCUCCCUUAGCCGUUCCUCAUAAAGCAUCGUUUCCAGGCCUUUGACCAUUUUGGUUGCCCUCCUCUGGACACGUUCCAGUUUGUCAGUGUCCUUCUUGAACUGUGGUGCCCAGAACUGGACACAGUACUCCAGGUGAAGUCUGACCAGAGGAGAAUACAGUGGCACUAUUACUUCCCUUGAUCUAGAUGCUAUACUCCUAUUGAUGCAGCCCAGAAUUGCAUUGGCUUUUUUAGCUACCGCGUCACACUGUUGGCUCAUGUCAAGUUUGUGGUCAACCAAGACUCCUAGAUCCUUUUCACAUGUACUGCUCUCAAGCCAGGUGUCACCCAUCUUGUAUUUGUGCCUCUCAUUUUUUUGCCCAAGUGCAAUACUUUACAUUUCUCCCUGUUAAAAUUCAUCUUGUUUGUUUUGGCCCAGUUCUCUAAUCUGUCAAGGUCGUUUUGAAGUGUGAUCCUGUCCUCUGGGAUGUUAGCCACCCCUCCCAGUUUGGUGUCAUCUGCAAAUUUGAUCAGGAUGCCCUUGAGUCCAUCAUCCAAGUCGUUGAUAAAGAUGUUGAAUAAGACCCGGCCCAAGACAGAACCCUGUGGCACCCCACUAGUCACUCUUCUCCAGGAUGAAGAGGAACCAUUGAUGAGCACCCUUUGGUGUAUUUAUAAAAUAAAUUCUCUGGAUUUUUCAGAUUCACGGUUAACAUAAUGUAGAUUUAGGGACCAAAUGGGGAGUAGCUCAGGGGUUGUGCUUGCAAAAAUAUAGCCACUUGAAGGUUUCUGAGUGUUUUUUUUUUUUAAUGGAACUGAAAUGUAGUCCCCAAAGUAACUACUGUAUAUCAAGGUAUUCUGUGACAUCCUUAAUGAUACCAGGACUGCUUUAUGCAAGAAGGUACCACUCUGGUUUCACUAAGCAGUCGGGAUGCUUGAGGAACCUGUUAUUUGUGAGUUCGGGUAUGAAAUAGGCACAUCACACCUAAGGAGCACAGUUAUCCUUCAGAUUUCAUGCUUCUCGGAAUUUUGCAACGUAGAUCUCUGCUGAGAAAACCUAUGGAUGUGUGCUUAUUAAGGAAGGGGUUUGCUUGCUUGGAAUACUGCCAAACUGAGCAGGAUUUAACCCCACUGCUCAUCAGCUGCUGGGCCAGGGGGGUUAAAUCCUUCUGCUUUGGCUGUGCAUCUCUGUUCCCUCCUGGGAACAGGCAUACGUAGCCAACACAGGAUUUGACCCUGCCCUUCUGCCCAUCAUACGAUUUCAUGAGUGGCUGGAGGUUGCCCACCCCUGCCCCAUAGAAUCGCAUACAAACCCACAGGCAUGGAGGGGGCCCAGAGCUACAGUUCCCAGAGUGGUGUAACAGACAAUCCCUCUUCCCAGAGAUCUUUGGGAACCGUAGCUCUGUGAGGAGACUAGGGGUCUCCUAAUGAAGUGGUAUGAUGCUGUGUUAAAUGUAUACUGCAGGUGGGACCUGUGUGUUCUUUUUGCACCUCCCUCUCAUUGUAAUAAUAAUAAUAAUAAUAAUAAUAAUAAUAAUAAUGUAGAUCCAGCAAGCCUGAAGUCUAUCAACCCCUGAUGCCAGCUCAGAGCUGCUCAGAUUCUUCCCUGAGUCUCUAUACGAAGUUUAGGAGGAACAUUUGAAUGCAGCUGCUCUCUAUUUCUUCUUCAUUGCAUUCUAAGUGUAACUGGAAAAGUUUCGGACGCUUGCAGCUGGAAAAGUUUCAGUCACUAGCAAUGAAAAAGAGAUUUCUGCCAGUUGGGAGAGUGAAAAAGAUGGGGGGUUGUUUGAUUUUAGAGGGCAUUGAGGGAUAACAAGAGGCUGAAAGCAUUUCCACUGUAAGAAAAAUGAAUGACACAUGAAAGAAGAAUUACAAGGUAUUUUUUCCUUCCCAGCCCUUAAGAGUGUUGUAAAGCACCAAAGUCUCCGUUGGCAGCAAUAUUUUUGCUUCUGGUUCACUGCUCAAACUAUCGGGUUAGCUACUUUCUAGUGGCAAUUACAUGUUAGUUCAGUUUAGUUAUACUUGAAAGUUGGCCUGUUCCUGGGAGCCCAGCGCUCAAGAAACAGUCUGAUUGCUCUGUGGCUUGUGAGUUUUGUCUGAUUUAUCUAGGACGUUUGUCGACCAGCCAGUCAACAAGAUCCUUUGGGUGGUUCACACAGAGUUCAAUCAAUGAAAGAUACCAUAACAAAAAUAAAUAAAACAUUAAAAUCAAUACGGUGUCUCGCAUAAAGAUAACCACAGCGGCAUAGAUUAUGUUAAAACAUUUUUAACCUAGCAGAAUGAUCUGUUCCAAGGGCAAAAGGUAUAGUCACAAAAAAAGACCCAGGAGAUUAAAAGGACACUGAAAAGUUAUUAACGUACGUGCAAGAUGAGCCUUGUUGGGGAUAGCCUUUUCUAACUGGGGUGCCACCACCAAGAAGGUCAUCUCACUAAAUACCCAUAUCACCUCUUUAGGCAGAUGUUCCUGGAGAAAGCCCUCUGAUGAGGAGAUCGAUGUCACAGCUGUCUCCAAAGGACCCUCAGGUGGGACAAGGGCCAGGAUUGAAGCUGACGGGGAGACAUACCAAAAGGAAUGAGGGCUUUAUUUAUGUAUGCCACUACAGCAGCAAGAAUGUUGAUUGCACAAAAUUGGAAGACUGGAGAAAUACCAACUAAAGAACAAUGGCAAGAGAAGUUGAUGAACUAUGCAGAACUGGCAAAAAUGACAGAAAGACUAAGAGAAAAAGACAACAGAGACUUUGAAAAAGAUUGGGAACCAUUCAUAUUAGAUUUGCAGAAACAAAGAAAGGUAAUAGACUUGAUGGCAGG